rnacentral:tRNA from 1 species
UAUUCUGUGGCUUAGUUGGUUGAAGCGCCAGACUAACAAUACGGAGUCGUGUGUUUGAACCCCACCAAAAUAA